GGUGGGUUCGCCCACCACUAGGACAAACAUAAACCUUUUGUAAUUGCAAUCAGCGUCAGUAACAAAUUAAUAAUUACAACUUUCAACAACGGAUCUCUUGGUUCUGGCAUCGAUGAAGAACGCAGCGAAAUGCGAUAAGUAGUGUGAAUUGCAGAAUUCAGUGAAUCAUCGAAUCUUUGAACGC
rnacentral:rRNA from 1 species